AUAAUUAAAAAUGGGGGGGGAUCAACUAACAGGAGGAAAGGAACAAAGAGAGAAGCACUCCAGAAUACAGUAGAACAAAAAAAAGAGGGCCUUCUGAAAGAUAAAAAAAUAACCCUAGCAGUGAAUAUGAAAAAUGUUGGUGAGACAUCCCAUCUCUUUGGAAUUAGCAAGAGAGUUUGUAAGUAUUUAAACUCCAUCUUGCAAUGCCUUUUUUACCUUUCCAAAUUUUGCUGUAAAUUCAUUUUCCUUGACUUAAAAAAUCAUAACUACAUUAGUUGACAUCAGUAUGUGUGCUUUUGAAAAUAUUGUUCUAAUUCUAUUUUUACACAUUUUCAGUUCAGAGUCUUUAUUCUCAGUUGUAUUCAUGGUAACAUUUACUCUAGUACUUGGUGCCCAGCAGAUAUUUAACAGAUUUUUGUCUCGUUCUUAAUCUUAACUAUUGAACUAAACGCUAAAUAGGAGUUCCCAUGGCGGCUCAGCAGAAAUGAAUCUGACUAGCAUCCCGGGGGAUGCAGGUUUGAUCCCUGGCCUCGCUUAGUGGGUUAAGGAUUUGGCAUUGCUGUGGGCUGUGGUGUAGGUCGCAGAUGCAGCUCAGAUCCAGCAUUGCUGUGGCUGUGGUGUAGGCCAGUGGCUACAGCUCUAAUUAGACCCCUAGCCUGGGAACCUCCAUAUGCCUUGGAUGCGGCCCUAAAAAGAUAAAAAAAUAAAAAUGAAAAUAAAUAAAAGCUAAAUAAACAUGGCUAAUUUGCUAUGGAGUGAAUGGUUGUGCCCCCUGUCAAAUUUGUACAUCAAAGUCCGAAUCCCCAGUACUGUGGUGUUUAGAGGUGAAUCUUUGAAAGGUCAUUUGGUUUAGGUGAUGUCAUGAGGACAGAGCCCCCAUUAUGGGACAAAUGUCCUUGGAAAAAGAGGAAAGGACCCCAGCUGUCCUUCUCUCCACCAUGUGAGGAUACCUAGAAGGCAACUGCCUACAAAUCAGGCAGAGGUCUCCCACCGGACACUGAAUCUGACAGCAUCUUUAUCUUAUACUUAGCCUCCAGAUCGGUGAGAAAUAAACAUUUCACCACCAGUCUAUGGUAUUUUUUCUAAAAUAGCAUUCCAAACUGACUGAGACAGUAGUAUUAUUCUUAAAUGUCGCUUUUCCUGUGUUAAAGAGCUAAAUGUCUUAUUUAGCAACUAAGCUUGCUGAAACAACCUACAUUCCUUUUUUAGUUAUAGUGUUUCCUAAAACAUCAUCAUUUUAUGUUUUUUUACACUGUUCUAUAGAAUUCUUAAAUUUCAAAGACAGUGUGGCUUGUGUCAUUAAAUCAUGUCUAUCUUAAAUUGUCAAAAAAUUCUUCCUUAGAGCCAAAAAAUAUUAUACUCAACAUAUCGAGGAUGAUUAUGAAUCGUCAAGCUUAUGAGUUUGCAAGAGGUGCCCUUAUGAGAUAACUUUAAUUAAGCAAGGCAUUCUAUUAAUCAUUUCUAAUUACUCAUGCAAAUCGCAGACGCUCUGGCCUGUGGUUUAAUAGCCCGAUUUGAUCCCAAAUGCAGCUGAUGUCUGUGGCCCAAUGGGUAUUUCUGUGAACGUGUCUUCACUGAUCUUGUUACUCUAUCUAGAUAUGAUAAUUGUCAGAAAACUACAGCUUGAUUUGUUAGGCCUUACAAGUGUUUUAAUUGCUGAAUUAAAGAGGCAAAGGUAGAAGAAUGCAAGAAAAGUUUGUGUUACUCCAUGUACCAGUGUAGCUCAACAGUGCAUACAGAUCCAUCUGGCUCCGUGGGCACUAUCCAAGGUGCUGACCCAGAAACCCACACUUUUUUCUUCCUAGACACGAUUUCUGUCCAUUCACUCCAAAUGUGAUACUGAUGAAAAGAUAUUAUCCUGAGUUUAGCAUCAUCAUUUAUAUAAAUGAAUAAGACACAUAGAAAAUUACCAGAUUUGUAUAACUUGACUCCAGGUUUCUUCUCUAUAGUAGUGGUUCAUGGUUCAAGUAUGAAGUUAAAAGAUGCAGCCUCUUUACCCUCCCCACUCCAAGCUGCUUGAGAAAAUCCAUAUUGGCAAAAAUAUCAUGAAUUUACUUCUAUAUAAAUUUGUAGUUUAGAAUCAAUACAUUUUGAGAAAUACUGACAUAUGUAUAUAUAUGUUGUACUGUGUGUAUAUAUGUAUGUAUACAUACACAUAUACAUAUCCAUAUAUAUGGCUUACUGUUUAUUCACUCUAAACAGAAUGGAUGGUGAACAUAUAAAUUUAAGAAUUGCCUUGUAAUUCUACAGCCUCCUAGGGAGUUUAUCCCAUAGGUUGAGACCUCUGUACUAUUUCAUUCUAUGGCAGAUUUGGAUCUGUUUUAGCAUUCUUACUUAAACGGAAAUAUUGAAGCCUCAGCAUACAGGAAAAAUGAAAUAACUCUGUGUCCCCACUUCUCCCCAACACAUGGAAGUUUCCCUAAAGUUUCGCAGGCAAUCCAGAUCAACCCAAGAUGCCAGUCAUAACUUCAAGUUCAUUCCUCUUCCCUCUCCUCUUCUAGAACCCCCUACUUUAAAAUCUCAGGGUCUCCUUGGACACUCCCAUUAUAAAAAUCUGCUGUCACAAACUGUCUUGCUAAAUCAAUUUGUACUAAGGUAUAAAGGACAGGUAAGGUUAUAUUUGCAUUUGAAUAGAGAUUAGGCUCUGACCUGGAAUUUUAGGCAUCAGCAAAUAGAUGACAAAAGAGCCAGUUCAAGGAAAUUGAGCCUUCCUAGUACCCAUGAAACAACACUAUGUGUGUCUUCACUUAUUCACUUACCAGAAAAACAGUGUGACCUAGCAGUUAAAGACCUAUGUUCUAGGCCAGACUGCUUGAAUUUAAAUUAUUACAGGUACUUUCUUCCUUGUGUGACUCUGAGAGUGUUUUUUAGUUUCCCUGUGCCUUAAUUACUCCUCCAAGAAAAGGGGUUGGAGAUAACAGUGUAUAUCUUGCACAGUUAUGGGUUUUGAAAAUUCAUGUGCAUGUGGAAUACUUAUAAAAUGCCACCUGGAGUUCCCUCAUGGCCCAGUGAUUAAGGAUAGGGUAUUGUCACUGCUGUGGCAUGGGUUCACUCCCUGGCCUGGGAACUUCUGCUCUGCAUGAUGUAG
rnacentral:lncRNA from 1 species